ensembl:snoRNA
CCUAUAAAGGCGUGACUGUUGUUCCCUGUCCUUGGACAUGUAAGAACUGUGGACAUGGAGAAGUCUGGGGCCAGCUUGUGGUAAGACCUAAUAUUUUCAUGUUAUACUUACCCAAAAUU